CCAUCUCCAACUGCGGCCGCUUAUAGGCCGAAACUGCAUGUAGACGUUACGGAGUGGCAGGCUCGGCUCCCAGCCAGCGUCGAACAUAGUAGACAGCUGUACAGUGAUUGGUCGGGAUCCAGGUUCCCUCUUGAAGAGGACCGUUAUCUCCCUGGCAACGGGGAGUCCGCCUCCAUGCUAGGCACGUGACAGUCAGCUGGGCUGGGGCUUCACCUCAGGAGAAAGAAGGCCUCAGUUGCCACUCACAGACAUUUGGAACAUCACCACCACCAUCAUCCUUGGUGGGACUGUCACCGGGCAACUGAUUAAUGGCAACCAGAGAUUUGAAUAAAAAAGGCACAGUGUUCCAGAUUUUCACCA